UGUGCACAAUUCCAAAAAAAUAUGGGGAUGAAGAUUCACCCACAGAGUAAAUCUGUAUUAUGGAAAGUGUUUUUAAAUCAAGUUUGGAAAAGUUGUCGGAAGCUUGGUGAUGGGGUCGUUGAGGUUGCGCGACCGUGGUGUAGUUCGUUUAUAGCAUACGGUUAGCAUUGCAUUUCUGGGGAUUGUAUUUAGGCUUCAAAACUUCAUAAAAGUUGUGUUCAUUUGUGAAAAUUAUCUUGAUGGACAAAACGUGUUAGUAUUGUUCACUGUUGUUGAUCACAGAGCUUAUUUUUUGCAAUAAUCCAAAAGCCUAUGGGAAAAUCCUGUUAGGUUUUUGUCGAGGGAACCAGUGUGAUGCUAACUUCCGGAUUCCGGUACAAACAACAUCAUUCCUGCGCCACUCUGUGAACUCAACCGAUAACAACCUGCUCGCGAAAUAAAUAAAUAAAUAAAUAAUGCAUCCAAUCACCAUUCUGUGUGUUUCACCAUCAGAGCAAAACUAGCCAAUCUAAAUCCUCCAUGCUUCGCAUGUGACACGAGAGCGGUUAUUUACAUCUCUACCCAUAUUCCGAUGAAUCCCGCCUCCAGCGCUGUGAUUGGUUAACACCGACCCAUUUUUGUACUUCGAUUGGCUGUUCGGGUUACAUCCUAAUCCUGAAUACGAGUGGAAUAAAAAAUAAAAACGAAUUUGAAGCAGCGAGAUACUCGUCCAGUCUGUCAAACUCCGGCAAGUGACAUUUUCUCUCAGUUUAAUAUCCCAGUGACACAAGAGCUUAAAGUUUAAAGGUUUGGUGAAAUUAUGAGCUCUGUUUGAAGAAUUAAUGUUAGUUAGACAUAAUGGCAAAAAGAAAAAAAAUGAAGGCACCGAGUUAGCAACAGUUAAAAUGAGUUAGUAAGGAGUAAGAGGUUAGUAAGGAAGCAAACUAGUGACCUUAGUAUUAGUCUAAUCUAACUUUCAUUCAUUCUUAACCCAGAUCAAACCUUAUAAUGAUAGAAAGCUGAUAAACAUAUAGUCCAUUCAGGUUUAUUCAUUCAUCCAGAGGACGUUAUGCCAAUACAGAAAACAAAGCCUAGCAAAUUUAUAAUAUUACGUUAUAACCUCUGUUAUUUACCUAAUAUCUUAUUGCUAUCAAAAGCUUCCUAUUGAAGCUACACAUUUUAUUUUUUAGGUACAUAUGAUCACUUUUGUACGUAUACAAUCCUGAAUCUUUAUACUGUUUUGCUGUACACAGUUUGUCAGCCACCUUCUUCUUGUCCAUCAGUAGAAAGGAACCACCGGUGAUCAGAGAUGACGGACCGCUCACAGCACAGCCGUCACACUCUGUACACUUACUUACCACUUUAUUAUUUAUGAUACCUACCUUGUUUGUACACCUGCGUGUACAGUUAGAGAGAGUAGUUUGUGUUGCUGUGGGGUAUGUAUGGUGUGUAUGGGGUAGCACUGCCUCCAGGGUCACUGGUUUGAUUCUGAGCUCAGGUUACUGUCUGUGUGGAGUGACGCAGGUUCUUUCCAUGUCUGCAGGUUCUCCGGUUUUCCUUCCACCUACUAAUAACCUGCAGGAUAAUAUAUAAUAAUAAUAAUAAUUUACACAGAUCAUCCUGUUCAAAAGUUUACACCCCCCUGGCUCUUAAUGUAUCGUGUUGCCUUCUUGAGAAUCAGUGAAUGCUUGCACCUGAUAUAAUAAGGAAAAUAUGAGUAAAAAUGUGUGUGUAUUACUAUGUUUGAGCAUACCAAACUCUACUGGACUCUAUUGUACUUGCAUGCACAAACUAUUAGAUCAAAUCAAGAUGUGUCCAUGUAGGCUAGCGCUUUGCUGUUUUGUGUAUGUUUUUGUGUGUGACAUCUCAAGGUCAGAAGCAGCAGCAGGACCUCCUCAUUGUGCUCGACACCAAUGUUCUCCUCAGCCACCUGGACUUUGUGAAGAGGAUUAGAUCCCAUGGACUUGGAGCUCUGGGGUUCCCGAUGCUGCUGGUUCCCUGGGUGGUUCUACAGGAGCUGGACUCGUUAAAAAGCAGGAAACUGUCAAAGGCCAGCUGUGGACUACAUCUACACCUCCCUGAAGAACCUGGAGCCGCGUCUCUGGAGCCAGUCCAUGCAGCAAGUGUCUCACGCUGCCUUGCAGUCUGAACGUGGAGGAUAAUGACGAUCUGGUGCUGCAGUGCUGUCUCCUGUACAAGACGUUGUAUCCAGGGGGCACUAUCAUGCUGUGCACGUAAGCCGUACAUUCAAGACUCAGAAUUGUUCAGGCAUCUUUAGGAGGACAUCUUUGGGGGUCACAUCUGGAAUUGUUUUUAAUUGUAAUUGAACAAAAGACCUUGUUUUCAGCUUCUGAUUUGCUGAUUUGCUCACAGUGGCCUGCUGGACACCUUUGGAUACUUGAAUAGUGCUUUUAACAAUAAACAAUGUCACAAUAGACAAUAAUCUGUUACGAGCAUUUACAUUUUUAAUGAGCAAGAGAGAGGGAGAGUUAUUAACUGUUUAAUGUUUAAUUGUUAAUGGAGUAAGUAAAAAUAAAUAAAUAAAUAAAUAAAAUGGACUUGAUUGAGGUAUUAACACAACAUAUCUGGUGUAACUUUAGUAAUAAUAAGGGACGUCACAAAUGUUUUAUUUAGCUCUGUUUAUGUUUAAAUAGCAGCCCUGAUAUCGGAUAGUGCUGUAAUAAUUCAUUAUAUUCUAAAAAGUCAAACAGUCCUGAAGCAUAUUAUGAAGAAGAGUCCUGGGAUAGUCUGAUCUAAGUAUGAGUCCAGCAGCAGUUCUUGGGUACAAAUGUACAAAGGUGAGAUUAUCCACUGAGAUUACCCUGAGGUUUAACUCUAAACUGUUUUUUGUUCUUUUUUGUUUUUGAGUUUUUCUUUCAUCAUUUCCAUUAUUUUAUGGCAACGAUAAGAACCUGUGCAGUAAAGCUCUGCUGAGCGGAGUCAAGGCCCUGAUUAAUGGGCGUUCCCUAAAGUGGUUCUCAUCCUAUUUAUAUAGGAGAACCUUUGCUGUGGAAUUAGUGAGCUCUAUUUCCUGCUCUCAGCCGAUCUCAUCUGGGGUUCCUCGAGGUUCUUGUCUUGGCCCUGUGCUGUUUUCUCUAUAUAUGCUCCCUUUGGGAUUAAACUCUCAAACACAGUGUAGCAUAUCAUUGUUAUGUAGACCAUACCCAGUUGUAUCUGCCUCUGAAAUGUAAUGAUUACUCCAAACUGUCAUGUAUCCGGAAACUCUGGACUCGAGUUCCCAUCAGACUCUGCACUGCACUAAAUGUCACAUGACCACCUGCACCUGAUUCACGUGUCUGUUAAUGAGCAUUCUUGUGUGUAUAUAUACACUGUGUGCACCGUUUCUCUGUCUUUCGUUGUCUUAGACUUCUGUGUUCCAUGUCACUACAUUUUGUUUCAUGCCAUAGUGUUUUGUCUAGUUGUCUUAGUGUCUUUGUUUUGUUGUGUAUUUGUUUAAUAAACGUUCUUAUCUGCGAUUGCUUCUGAACCCAUCCUUGAUUCGUGACACAAACUUGCAUCUCUGCUUGAUUAUUUGGAUGAAAUAAAGGUGUGGAUGGCAUCCAGUUUUUUGCAGCUUAAUGAGUCAAAAUAUGAAGUGGUGUUUUUUGGUCCAUAAAAGUUAGCCAAACAGCUUGAAAUCUGGGCCCUUUAGCCACCAAUGUUAGGAAUGUUAGGUGAGGAACCCUGGUGUGAUUUUUGAUUCUGAGCUGAAAUGUGAAAAACAAAUAAAGUUUCCAAGAAUCCAAGAAUUUCUUCCUUGGUUCCUCUGAUUUUCUGUACA